rnacentral:snRNA from 1 species
AGGCUCGUCCAUUGCACUCCGGCCGUGCUGACCCCUGCGAAUUCCCCAAAUGUGGGAAUCUCGACUGCAUAAUUUAUGGUAGUGGGGGACUGCGUUCGCGCUCUCCCCUG